ACGAACGCUGGCGGCGUGCUUAACACAUGCAAGUCGAACGGUGAAGCGCCUUCCUUUUUGGUGGGUGUGGAUGAGUGGCGAACGGGUGAGUAACACGUGAGUAACCUGCCCCCUUCUUCUGGAUAACCGCAUGAAAGUGUGGCUAAUACGGGAUAUUCUGGGUCUGUCGCAUGAUGGGUCUGGGAAAGAUAUUGUUUCGGUGGGGGAUGGGCUGGCGGCCUAUCAGCUUGUUGGUGGGGUGAUGGCCUACCAAGGCGGUGACGGGUAGCCGGCCUGAGAGGGUGGACGGUCACACUGGGACUGAGACACGGCCCAGACUCCUACGGGAGGCAGCAGUGGGGAAUAUUGCACAAUGGGCGCAAGCCUGAUGCAGCGACGCCGCGUGAGGGAUGGAGGCCUUCGGGUUGUGAACCUCUUUCGCCAGUGAAGCAGGCCUGCCUCGUUUGUGGGUGGGUUGACGGUAGCUGGAUAAGAAGCGCCGGCUAACUACGUG
rnacentral:rRNA from 1 species